AAGCGAGCAAGGUGUGGCAAGCUUACGCGUUAAGUAUUCCGCCUGGGUAGUACGGCCGCAAGGUUAAAACUCAAAGGAAUUGAUGGGGGAGCGCACAACCAGUGGAGCAUGUGGUUUAAUUCGGUACGAAGCGAAAGACCUCACCUAGGUUUGACAGGUAUCUGCAAACCCUAUGAAAGUAGGGCGCCUUCGAGGGUGAUACACAGGUGCUGCAUGGCUGUCGUCAGCUCGUGUCGUGAGACGUGUGCUUAAGUGCAGUAACGAGCGCAACCCCUGCCGUGUGUUGAAUGAUCCCACGGGACUGCCUUACAGCAAGUAGGGAGGAAGGAGGGGACGACGUCAAGUCAGCAUGGCCCUUACACCUAGGGCAACACACAUCCUACAAUGGGAAGUAACAACGGGUCGCGAGGCAGCAAUGCGGAGCUAAUCCUAAUAAACCUUCCCUCAGUUCGGAUUGGGGGCUGCAACCC
rnacentral:rRNA from 1 species